rnacentral:tRNA from 1 species
GCGCCUGCGGCUUAAUGGCGUAGAGCACUUCUGCCCAGUUAGCUUUGGUGCGGGUUCGAGUCUCGCCUGGCGCC